GUAAGUUAAAACACAAGAAUGGGGACAAAUAGUUUAAGAUUCAGCCUAAAACAAUAUUGAGGUCUAAUCAGGCUGUCUUAUUUUGUAUAGGGACAGGUAACCAUGAAAAGGAAGGGAGAUAUUGCAGACUUUUUUUGUAAAGAGGCACAAAUCAGGCCCAGAUCAGGCCCAGGCAGACCCCACCCCUAAAACCAGCAGCCCUGGCAGCUCUCAACCGGGAGCUAGCCAGGCAAGUCAGUGUGAGCAUAGAGAAGGAUCCAGUCUACCACCACCAGGUCAGAACACACAGGCAGUAAAUUGCAUCUCCAGUUUAUUGAAAAGUGAAGCCUCACACUGUAACAAAAGACAUCAAUAAUGACUGGCCAGACCUGUGGAGUGCUAAACAAACAGAAGACUUCAAAUCCAAGAACCCCUGGUUGGGAUCCAAAAACAAAAAAUUGGGAUGUCUGGUCUGUAGCAGUGUGAACUCCAUUGGGAUCGACAAGGAGCAAGGACAAGGUGUAUCGCUCUCAAGAGAAUGGAUGAACUUUGAAAUUCAAGUGUCUGGCCAGGGAAGUAGAACAACAAGUUUGUCAAUCUUGAGAAAUAAGGUGAGG